UCCGGUAUGAUGUAGGUGGCUAUCAUACUUGCCUUUCACGCAGGAUACCAGGGUUCGAGUCCCUGUACCGGAA
rfam:Fistulifera solaris DNA, contig: scaffold00153, strain: JPCC DA0580.